AGUGAACGCUGGCGGUAGGCCUAACACAUGCAAGUCGAACGGCAGCACAGUAAGAGCUUGCUCUUACGGGUGGCGAGUGGCGGACGGGUGAGGAAUACAUCGGAAUCUACUUUUUCGUGGGGGAUAACGUAGGGAAACUUACGCUAAUACCGCAUACGACCUACGGGUGAAAGCAGAGGAUCUUCGGACCUUGCGCGAUUGAAUGAGCCGAUGUCGGAUUAGCUAGUUGGCGGGGUAAAGGCCCACCAAGGCGACGCUCCGUAGCUGGUCUGAGAGGAUGAUCAGCCACACUGGAACUGAGACACGGUCCAGACUCCUACGGGAGGCAGCAGUGGGGAAUAUUGGACAAUGGGCUCAAGCCUGAUCCAGCCAUACCGCGUGGGUGAAGAAGGCCUUCGGGUUGUAAAGCCCUUUUGUUGGGAAAGAAAAGCAGCAUGUUAAUACCCCGCUGUUCUGACGGUACCCAAAGAAUAAGCACCGGCUAACUUCGUG
rnacentral:rRNA from 1 species